rnacentral:tRNA from 1 species
ACUUUUAAAGGAAAACAGAAAUCCAA